rnacentral:sRNA from 1 species
GUUUUGCGAGAAGGAUAGUAAUGAAAAGCCUACAGCAACGCAUUUCAGAGUUGCGAGCCCUUUUAACGGAUAGCCUGACCCUUU